UCGGAUCCUUGACCUAAUUUUUUGACCUAUUUAUCAACUCUUUUCUGUGAUUUUCUCUUUUUCACUAGGUUCGCAAUAGUUCUUAGGACCGCGGCGUCACAUUUUCCGGUUCAAAAGUAGGGUUAGGACUGACCUCGCAGUCACUUCCCGGGCUUUUCUAGAUGUCUUAAAUAUGGUUCUCAUCUCCUUAAUUGUCCGGACUGACACUGAUCACCGAAACAGUGUAAUAUACCAGGCUAUGCAUAUAAGGCUGUUGCAGUUCUGCCUAAUGAGGCAUCGAGGGAGUGGAUGGUGAGGCGAUUCUGAGAUGGUGGCAAGGUCCUUGGUUGCAGGCCAUGGAUGAUGGUGGUGAUUGGCAUGGUGAGAUGCUACGCUUUGUGCAAUGGUGCUGAGGCUGCGAGGGGUAUUGCAGGUGAGAGAGGCAGAGCUCUCAUAGUUUUUGGGUUUUAUUCCCUUCAGGGGAAUUUUGGAUGAGAUUCAAGUGGGCCUUGUGUGUGUGGCUAACAAUGAAGGGGUAUUGGAGACGGGGGAGAUAUGACGGUGGAGAAGAAAAAGAGAAGAGAAAAAGAAGAAAUGGGGAAAGAGAAAUAUGAGGCGGUUGUAGAAGAAAGAAAAGAGAAUAGAUUGGUUGGGUUGGAUGUGUUUAUGGUGUGAAAUGAAUGGUUGGGAUUUAGAGAUUUAAUCCAAUGGUCUUGGUCCGGUUUGGUUAUUGUGGUUUUUUAUGCUGAAAAUUGAAUUGAAUUGAAUAGACCAAAUUUUCUAAAAGUCAAAACCAAAGUGAGUAACUUAAUAAAUCAAAUCAAAUUUCUGAAUUAGGGGUUGUUUGGUUUGAAUAGCGCUCAUCCCAGGGAAAUUUUUGGAUAUUUGACUGGUUUGAUUUUUAGAGAUAGUUGAUUGUUGGUUUCCUCAAUGAUCUCACACGCGCACGCACACAAAGAGAAAUGGUUUGUCCUAAAACACUGCAUUCUGAGGUGUCAAGUGACUCUUUCCAGCAACCUAGAUUUCUUGACCCAUCAUUCACUUGAUCAAUCCGAAAGGCUCAAUUGCAUGAUUGGUUAUAAUUUUUCAUAAUGAAAUUUGCUUAAUUGAAUGAUAUACUAUGUCAAGUUGUACUUGUGUGGUACAAGUUAAACCACCAGAUAAUUAUUUAUCAAAAAAUUGUCUCAUACAAUUAUUUUAAUUUCACUGCGUGAUUGAUACAAAUUCUCAUUGGUAAUGCUUUCAUGCAUCCAGGUGAAAUUCCAUUUUGCCUGUGAUUUUUUAUAUUCUUGCUGAAAGUUGGCUGUGCCUCUUCAACUAAUCCUAACACCUCAUGUUGAUUGUGUUUUAAUCCUUGGAAGUUGUAUUGGAACUAAUAAUGAAUUUAUAUUUCUAUUUUAUGUUUA